AUUGAACGCUGGCGGCAGGCCUAACACAUGCAAGUCGAGCGGAUGAGUGGAGCUUGCUCCAUGAUUCAGCGGCGGACGGGUGAGUAAUGCCUAGGAAUCUGCCUGGUAGUGGGGGACAACGUUUCGAAAGGCAGGCUUAUACCCCAUACGUCCUACGGGAGAAAGCAGGGGACCUUCGGUCCUUGCGCUAUCAGAUGAGUCCAGGUCGGAUUAGCUAGUAGGUGAGGUAAAGGCUCACCUAGGCGACACUCCGUAACUGGUCUGAGAGGAUGAUCAGUAAAAGUGGAACUGAGACACGGUCCAGACUCCUACGGGAGGCAGAAGUGGGGAAUAUGGGACAAUGGGCGAAAGCCUGAUCCAGCCAUGCCGCGUGUGUGAAGAAGGUCUUCGGAUUGUAAAGCACUUUAAGUUGGGAGGAAGGGCAGUAAGCUAAUACCUUGCUGUUUUGACGUUACCAACAGAAUAAGCACCGGCUAACUUCGUGCCAGCCGCCGCUGUAACAC
rnacentral:rRNA from 1 species